AUUGAACGCUGGCGGCAUGCUUUACACAUGCAAGUCGAACGGUAACAGGCCGCAAGGUGCUGACGAGUGGCGAACGGGUGAGUAAUGCAUCGGAACGUGCCCAGUCGUGGGGGAUAACGCAGCGAAAGCUGUGCUAAUACCGCAUACGAUCUAUGGAUGAAAGCGGGGGACCGUAAGGCCUCGCGCGAUUGGAGCGGCCGAUGUCAGAUUAGGUAGUUGGUGGGGUAAAGGCCUACCAAGCCGACGAUCUGUAGCUGGUCUGAAAGGACGACCAGCCACACUGGGGCUGGGCCACGGCCCAGAGUCCUACGGGAGUCAGCAUGGGGGAAUUUUGGACAAUGGGCGCAAGCCUGAUCCAGCAAUGCCGCGUGCAGGAAGAAGGCCUUCGGGUUGUAAACUGCUUUUGUACGGAACGAAACGGUCUGGGUUAAUACCCUGGGCUAAUGACGGUACCGUAAGAAUAAGCACCGGCUAACUACGUGCCAGCCGCCGCCGUAACAC
rnacentral:rRNA from 1 species